CAGUCGCCGCGGUAAUACGGAGGGUGCAAGCGUUAAUCGGAAUUACUGGGCGUAAAGCGCACGCAGGCGGUCUGACAAGUCAGAUGUGAAAUCCCCGGGCUUAACCUGGGAACUGCAUUUGAAACUGUCAGGCUGGAGUCUUGUAGAGGGGGGUAGAAUUCCAGGUGUAGCGGUGAAAUGCGUAGAGAUCUGGAGGAAUACCGGUGGCGAAGGCGGCCCCCUGGACAAAGACUGACGCUCAGGUGCGAAAGCGUGGGGAGCAAACAGGAUUAGAUACCCCUGCAGUCCCUGUCUCUUAUAC
rnacentral:rRNA from 1 species